rnacentral:rRNA from 1 species
GACGAACGCUGGCGGCGUGCUUAACACAUGCAAGUCGAACGGUAAGGCCCUUCGGGGUACACGAGUGGCGAACGGGUGAGUAACACGUGGGUGAUCUGCCCUGCACUUCGGGAUAAGCCUGGGAAACUGGGUCUAAUACCGGAUAGGACUCCGGACUGCAUGGUCUGGGGUGGAAAGCUUUUGCGGUGUGGGAUGGGCCCGGGGCCUAUCAGCUUGGUGGUGGGGUGAUGGCCUACCAAGGCGACGACGGGUAGCCGGCCUGAGAGGGUGACCGGCCACACUGGGACUGGGAUACGGCCCAGACUCCUACGGGAGGCAGCAGUGGGGAAUAUUGCACAAUGGGCGCAAGCCUGAUGCAGCGCCGCCGCGUGAGGGAUGGCGGCCUUCGGGUUGUAAACCUCUUUCAGCAUCGACGAAGCGAAAGUGACGGUAGGUGCAGAAGAAGGACCGGCCAACUACGUGCCAGCCGCCGCGGUAA